GCAGCUCAAGUCCUGGGCAGAAGUCAUGACUUAAAAGACUUACUUCAAACUCCUUGGAGUGCCUCCCUGCUAAAUACCUGCUUAAGUCUGGAGGUUCAAAUGAAGUCCUCCCCCCGCCAUCGUGUGCCACCCCCCUCCUUCUCUCCCGAGAGCAAGAGAGAUCAUGAUUCACAGAUUGUUCACGCAGAUCCUGAGACCAAUGUGCCUUAGGAUGGAAAAAGACAAGUCUGCAGCCUCCAGCCUCUCUCAAUUGUGUUAUCAAUAUCACUUGCAAAGAUUCCAGCUCUUUCUGAUAUCACAGUGAUUAUUAAUUUCCUACUGCUAAUCACUCCCUCAUUCCAUGGCUGCAAAGAGAAACACAGAGAAGGACACAAGACUCUGGAAUAACAAGGUCUUAUGUGUCAAAUGGCUGUGAAAUGUUGGCUAAAACUACAGACAUAUCUUUCACUGAUCAAGCUUGAAGUUUGGGAUCACACACCAGAAAUUUGUGUCUGAAUCUUACAUCUCCAGAGUGGGCUGAGCCUCUUCAGAUGGCAGGUGAUAUUGCAGUUUUUUUCCUGCCAAUCCAAAGAUGGGCCCAGAAGGAAAAAACUGCUCACUGAACCACAUACUUCUCUCUUACUCUCAAGACAUUACAUCAGAGGGUUUGUUGUAGGACACCACAACUGGACAUGGACAGUGUUUUGCAGCAGAACAAGAUCCUAAGGAACGAUUUGGAGAUUUCCAUGGGGGUUGUCUCCUGUUCAUGGUGCUGCAACUUGCUGUCUGCAGGUGAUCAGGAAAGUGACCCUAGAAAGACCAAAAUGUUCGUGAAGCCUUCUCUUUCCCAGACAUGAGCAGAUGCUAACAGCUGUCCCAGCAGACAGGUAACACAAGGUUAAAGGCUAGCAGAGCUGUGUACCUUCAGGAUCUGACUGCCUGCAAACGAAAUGGGUGGUUUCUCAAAACUAAUGAAAAUGGCAGCAAUGAUGAGAAGAAGAAGGAGCUGACAACAACAACAACAACAACAAAAAAAAAAAACAAAACAGCAGAACAAGGAGAAAAGAAACCACCAAAAAAUGAAUUCUGGGUAGUACAAAACAUGGCAGAGCUGAUUUUAAUAUGUGGCAGGUUGAGUUCAGUAAUCUUUGCUAUUCACAUUGAUGUGAAACUUCAUAGAGUUUUAGAGAUUUGUAUCUAUUAAGACAUGUAGGAGUGUUGCUACAACAUGUGAACAAGUUUGCUACCACCUGCCAUUCUUUCUCCAUAAUACAAAUUGAUAUGAACUCUUUUAAAUGCCUAACAGAUAAUUACUCUCAACACUGAAUAAGAAAAGCAACAUCUUUAGAGUGUCCUUUGUCUUUAAAAAGUAAUUUAAAAAAUAGACUAAAACUCAGCAGCAAGGCAAACCAACAUUCGUAUCCGCUCUCUUUUGUUUCUUUGAUUACUUGGAGCCUUGUAAUCAAACUGAGCUUAGUUUCAGGACCCUUGGGGCAGUAUCUCUUAGUUCUCUGUCAGGCUGUGUUGUAAAACAAUCAAUCUUGUUCUUGUGCUGGCUUGGUAGAAGUGCCACAACACAAGGAGUGCAAUGCUUUACUCUUUCUGUGAAGAUUUGAUGACAAAAGUUUUUAUCAGAAGCUGACUGUAUUUAGGAUUAUGAAUAUGCAAUGACUCUCAUUAGUAUUGAAGCACAGGAACAUGGUCUGACAUCUCUUACCACUUUCAGCUGCUGCACAGUUGUCUAAUGAAUUGUCUUGCUCUUUCACUUUCACAGUCUUUGCUGUUAUGGCCCAAUUUGAGAAUAUUAUUGAUGGCAAAAAAUUAAUUGCCAAAAAAUGCUCUUGAUUUUGUUAAGCAGUGUUGAGUCAGGGUUUAAACUGUCAAAACAGAAAACCAUUAAACUCUACAAGGGACAAAUCCAUCACAAGUGGAGAGGAUAUGCAUGUCUGUAUGUAGCCAUGCACAAGCGUAAAGGGGUAUGGCAUGGGUAUGCAUACAGUCUGCAACUUACACAUACAAACAUAUGUGUAUGCAUCAGUGAUUGGUCUCAAAAACCUAAUGUCCUGAUGAAUUAUUUCUUUUAUUUUUGCAAUAAGAACAAAUGGAGAUAAUGGAAAGUUUUUCAAAUGAUUUUGACUCUGGUACAUUGCUACUUGAAUAACCAUUUUAUACUCUUCUUUACUCCAUUGGAAAUAUGUCAAGUACUUUUCACCUCAUCUGCAAUCUGAAUAAGUUCUGCUAAGGAUGGUUCCAACAAGUGAUUAAAAUACAUGGCUUGAUUUGUUGUAUUUGAGGAGGUGUGUAGGCUUUCAGGAACAAGUGGAAACGACACCUAUCCCCCAAUUGGUUAAAAUAAGCAAUUUUUCCUCUAUUUGUCUGAAAUUUCUUCUGACAUAAAAGAAGCUUUAAUGGUUUUCUAUAGAUUGCGAAGGGCAAAGUGAAUUGAAUAGCUUAACAGCUUAAAAAAGUUUAAGCAGCAUUCUGAAAGGUGUGUGUGUACUGCAAAUAAUAAAGGAUAUCAAGUUUUCCCACGAAGAUGUCAGUCCUCUUGAGCUCUAUACCCAUUUAACCAGUAACAGAAAUGGUCCCUGUGCAAGGAAAGAGGAUCUCUUUUUUUUUUCUGAGAUUUUUAGCACUGUUACUCCAACACAAGCUUGGUUUACCUCUUAAUCCAAUCCUAGGACUGUCUGUUCUUAUCAACUUGAUUAGAAAAUAAUAAACAUAUACAUCUUCUGAGUAUCAAAUACAAGAGCAGUUUAAAAUAAAUGCAGUUCUGACAAAAGUGGCUUAACUAUCAUACAUCAAACACUUGUUACCUCUCUGCCUUAGUGACUGCGCAUGACUAAGAAAGAGUGAGUGAUAAAAUCUAAAGAAAGAUGAAACCAACUGGACCUUUUUAAAGAUCAUCAAUCAUUCUGCACAACCAUUAUAUUAUUAGUUCCAGUAAGCCUUGUUCUCCCAUUUUAUGGACAUCUUAAGCCCCCCACCCAGGACCAAUGCUACCAUGGGAAAUAAUUUCUAUGGGGACCAUCUCAGUGUGGACCAAUCAGAUCUAAUCACAUAACAAGCUACUGAAUUAUUCAAUGUUCUCCCUAAUUUUGCAUUUUUCCUGCACUUUGCUGUCACUACAGGGUUUUAAAAGUAUGAGUUUUUACAAUAUUUAUUAAAAAGAUAACCAUCUGCAAAAAUUUUUCUUUCUCAAUGUCUUUCAACAAUCAUCAUGUCCUUGGAUUGUUGCACGGUGUACGUUAUUAUACACAGAAUAUUUUCUCUAAAAGGAAUAACAAUCCACAAUGUGGCACUCAGCUUUAAACUCUUGCAGUUUUUAAUAUAUCAAAUGUAAGGACAACAAUAGUGAAACAAUUGUGUUCAAACAUAAAAUAUUCAUAUUUACGGGGCAAACUAUAACCAGCAUGUCUCUUGACAUGCUAUGAAUACAAGGCUUACAUUGUAUGUGAAAAUAUUUCAGUUUUAAUUGCAAAUCUGUGCAGAGAUGAUUUGGGGUCUGUAAUUAGCACAUAAAUUUCAGACUUUGCAACUGCUAUGAAAACACACAUUAUUUAUGGAACUAUUAUCUAAAUAUAAUUCAGUGUCUUUUGCUUUCAAUAACUACUGUAAAAUUCUGAUUUAAUAAAAUGUGAAAAAUUCCCCAUGUCUAGCACUUCACAUUAUGGAGCAUUCGUUCCUCUCACUGCAUUUCCCCCUCAAUCUGCAGUGGACUUUCCUCUUAUCCAUACUUCACUCAUACCUCAGGGAGAUUUCUUCAUAGCCAUAAAGUGCCUGGCACUUAAUUUGUUUAAAAUGAAAGUCUGGAUUAUUCAAAUAGCUCUGAACUGCACAAACAGAGUAGUUUCUGUUUGACUCUUCCAUCUUCAUGCUUUUCAUCAGAGAUAGAAGCCGGAAUAGAUUGGAGUCCAGUCACAGCUGGGUUUGAGCUCUUGUGUGCAGAUUUCCAGUUAUCCAGAGAGGGUUAAUGGACAGUGUUGCCUUGUUAUCACUCGCUCAUUGUAAACUGUAGGCUCAACCACUUCUAGCUCCCAUCAGUGUAGGGCACAACCAGCUCAAAAUUCGCCGUUUCCUUGCUAGAAAUCCCAUUAUUUUUCAAAACAGGUUACUCACAAAAUCUGUUUUACAGCAAUUGUUUCUGAGACCUUUUACCAUUCUUGAGUUUAAAAGUGUUUUUUUAGGUCACAUGGAACUGAGCAUUUUUCUUGCCAGCUUUGUGCUUGUCUCUAAGUUCAGGACUGUAACUGCAGAUAAAGAGACUGGGCACCAGGUACGCACAAACACCCCAAUAUCAGGUUAAAUAGUAAAACAGAGCUUGUAGUAACAGCAAUGAUGAAUCUGUGACACAUUUGAAAUUUUCUCUCUGCUACAUUUUACCCCCCCCACAUCCUUUUGGAUCCCUGUGUAUAUAGUUUUACUCUACUUGAAGGAAAAUACUUGCCCACUUUCUGUCUGCUUCCAAACUGCAAGACACUUUGCUGUCUCUGGCUGUUCCAGCACCUCUGUGCAAUGACAACUUCAACAGCCACUGCUGUAAUAAUCAAAAUAAGGAUCACUAACAGGGCUGCCUUGCUUCUCCUCUUUAGACUGUCUACUCAAAUAAUAAAAAUAAUUCUCCUGUAUUUUUGUGUAGCCUAUACUACACAGAUUCCUCCACAUCAAUAAUCUAUACGAUCUUUAAAACCUCAGGAAUUAAGUGCUUGCAGUAACCUUAUAUAUUGGUAUAUUUUUCUUAAUGUCUAGCAUAGUGAGAUACCAUGAAGGCCUGAGUUUUCUCAUGAGAAGGAAGGUAGUGCAUUCUGGGAACAGGAAAAAUUUAAUAUAGAAUGUCUUUGAAAAGUGUUGGAGUUGUGCAGCCUUUCACACAAGGAUUUCUAAAAGUGAGAGUGGCAUUUGGCUCACAGGUAGCAGAAUUGUAGUCUAAAAAUUUGGGAAAGCAGACCUGUCCUAAUAUCAUCCAGACCAUUCAAUAUGCAACAACUCAGAUCAGUUUGAUUUUUUUUUCACAUUAUCAAUGUAAUUCUAGAUGCAGAACAAUGAAUCCAGUUUUCAGAUGAGAUUAGUGACACCUGAAUAAUGCAGGAAAUCCCUAAAAAAUGCCAAGAUAGAAAGGAAAUUACAGCACUUUUAAAAAAUAUGACAGAAUAAAUUAUUGCUCCUUAUAAGUGAUAUCAGAAUAUUAGGGUAUUUCUCCUAGCCACCUGUCAAGCAGCUGCACAUAAGACCAUGACAUAUCCUUCUCACUUUCAGCAGUGUUGCUGAAGCUAUAUGAGAUACUUUCCAUAAAUGGAUCAACAUCAGCCCAAACAGUUUUAAUUUUUAAUCUCAUGUUUAAUCAACAUGGAAGUGAUCAAAAGCACAUAUCAGAGAAAUUGUUCAGACCACACUUGAGAACAUUCACCAAGAGGGGUGUAAAGCAGAAGCAAAAGAGUAUACUCUUUGAAGGUACUUCUGAGGCAGACCAGAAAAUGAUUUCAAGAGCAGAAGCUACAAGUACACCUACCAGCUCACUGGUUUUGAUGUUUAUAAGUAUCUGCAUUACAAAAGAAAGCUACAAAACAGUGCAGAGAGACCAACUAUAGAUGCAGUAGAGCCUUUACCUGCCUACUCCCCAAAACAGAAAUUAAAGCUAUGGGUUAAAAAGGUUUUUAAUUUUCGAGUGGUAGGCCAUUGUCAGUAGUCGCUUUCUGCAAUACUGGUAAGCUCAGUAUUUGGUGUUUAUGCACUACUUUAAAUAUUUUAAGUGGGACACUGUGCAGCAGCUAGAGGACAGCAUCCCUCUGUGCUCAGUACUGUACAAAAAAAGGAUCCAUGCAUCAAGACAUCUCUGUGUCUAGGAGAUUACAAUGUAGGGAACUGAUUGGAGAUAUUUCAUCGUCUUGUUAAGGCAGUGGUGUUGAACCCUAGAGGAAAAUUUCAUCCCUUAUGGCACUCCAGCUGUACCUGUAUGGUCAUAUCAUCAUGUAUGUUGUUCUGAGCUUGACCUGGUCUGGGCUAGCCUUGCACUUGAAGGAAAAAACCACCAUAACAUCAUCACCAAAGCAGUUACUCCCAGAACUAUCCUUGCAGGUGGCUGGAUACUGGGGCUAAGUGACCUUUGGGAUCCAGCCCAAAGCUUUUCUGCAAAAACAGGUGAAGGCUGGGCCCGAAGAAGGUUAUUUAGGGUUGAUUUAGCAUUGCUGGUGAAAUCAUUCAAGGAGAGACAUGAUCUGUGCAGAUGGACAAAGCAAUGGGCAAAGCUGAGAUCUACUGCCAGACUGAAAGAAAAAAGAAUUAUCUUAUGCACUGUAGACACUCUUCAUCUGCUUUAAUUUUUAAUAGAAAUUUUCCACUUUAAGUGCUAUGAGCAAUACAAGUUUAAUGUGAACUUAGAGGACCACGCAACACAAGCAUAAUUGACUCACUAUGAUCACUCUUUAGAUAUUUUUUUGCCUUUUUCUUAAGUCUUAAUGUUUCAUUCUUAAUGGAAUCAGAAAAUGACAGACAGCUGGAAUGUGGCAUAGCAGUCAACUAAUGUGAAUUCACCGAGUAGUAAAUAUUGAAAUUAAAUUUGAAUUACUGCAUGAGUAAUUGCUGAUUAGAAAACUGGAAUAAAAGAGUCAGGGUAGGACAUAAGCCACCAGCAAGUCAAAAGAAAUAAUUAUUUUAAAAAAUGUGGGGCCACUCCCAGUUUUAGGGGGUAGGUGAGGGAAGAUGAAGUAAUCACAUCCUCCCACAGGAAAAUGAACAAUGUUAUAUUAUUGCAUACAGAGAUCCCAGAGUGUUUUUCUCUUAAAAAUAUGUCAGACCCAGACUCAUUUUGAGCUUGUAACUUCUUCUGACCAAAAUUUUUAGUCAGAAAAGACAGAGCAAACUUUGUAUUUUUUGCAUCUCUUUGUAAAGAAGGAUGGCUUCACAGCUGUUUCUUGAUCCCCCAAACAGGUCUGACUAAAUGCAUAGGAAGAGCAAAACUUGGUAACUUUUGGGUAUUAGUCCUUACCCACAACAGCGUGAAACAGAAAAGGAGGAGACAUGCUUAGCAGUAAUCUGGAUCUGUUCUAUUUUCAGCUUUAGUAACAAUGUUUUGUUAUUCUUGAUCAUGACAUUAAUUUUUUCUAUAUUUCAGUGUAUUCACCUUAAAACAACUGUAGUAAUAAAUUUCCAUUGCAGAUCAAUGCUAGAACUCCUAACUUAUGGGAGCAAAGUGUUUUGAGAUCCUCUUAGGAAAAGAGGUAUCCUCUUAGAAAAGGAAAGCUGUGCAAGAAGAUAUCUGGCAAGAAACACCAGUUUAUGAUACCACCACCACCUGUGAUUCCAUCAUCUUACAGGAUAAUCUUUCCUCCUUUCAAUUAACACAUCUUAGCUCAAAUCCUAUCAAAAUAUUUGCAUAGAUGCAGAAGUUCUCAGAACUCUCCUCGAGACGAGGGAAAAUGUUUACUUGUGAAGAAAGCUUAUUAACAGUCAAAGCAAUGAUGGAAUCAGCACUUGGGGCAACUCCAAAACCACCUACUUAAACUUGCAAGGAAAAGAGUUAGAUACAGAUUCUGGUGGCAUAAUUAGUGUUUCCUCUGGUUUGGUUCUCGUUAUUUCUGUUCCCAUUUAUUAAAAGCAAAAAAAGGGGGAAAAGUAAAAGAAAAAGGGAAAAAAAAAGGUUUUAAAGCUGUGAUUGUGUUCCCCAGCAAACCUGAUUGUGAUUUCUAUUUUGCAGGAGAUUUUCCUUAUAUCUGCUACCAGGCUGA